rnacentral:tRNA from 1 species
GCCAAUGUAGCUCAGUUGGUAGAGCAGCUGUUUCGUAAACAGCAGGUCGAGAGUUCGAGCCUCUCCAUUGGCUCCA